rnacentral:rRNA from 1 species
UUGGAAGGGCAAGUCUGGUGCCAGCAGCCGCGGUAAUUCCAGCUCCAAUAGCGUAUAUUAAAGUUGUUGCAGUUAAAAAGCUCGUAGUUGAACUUCGGGGUUUACCCAUUGGUCAGGCUUAAUUGUCUGUACUGGUGAGAUAAAUCUCUACCUUCUGAGGAACUUUCAUGCCAUUUAUUUGGUGUGAUUGGAAAUCAGGACUAUUACUUUGAAAAAAUUAGAGUGUUUAAAGCAGGCUAACGUCUGAAUAUAUUAGCAUGGAAUAAUGAAAUAGGACGGCUUGGUUCUAUUUCGUUGGUUUCUAGGAUCACCGUAAUGAUUAAUAGGGAUAGUUGGGGGCAUUAGUAUUCAAUUGUCAGAGGCGAAAUUCUUGGAUUUAUUGAAGACUAACUACUGCGAAAGCAUUUGCCAAGGAUGUUUUCAUUAAUCAAGAACGAAAGUUAGGGGAUCGAAGACGAUCAGAUACCGUCGUAGUCUUAACCAUAAACUAUGCCGACUAGGGAUCGGACGAAGUUAAUUUUAUAAUGACGCGUUCGGCGCCUUACGGGAAAC